AAUCAACGCUGGCGGCGUGCCUCAGACAUGCAAGUCGAACGAUUAAACUUUCCUUCGGGAAAGAUAUAAAGUGGCGCACGGGUGAGUAACACGUAAGUAAUCUACCUUUGAGUGGGGAAUAACGUUCGGAAACGGACGCUAAUACCGCAUAAUGCAGCGGCACCGCAAGGUGACAGUUGUUAAAGGAGCAAUUCGCUUAAAGAGGAGCUUGCGGCAGAUUAGCUUGUUGGAAGGUAACGGCUUACCAAGGCUACGAUCUGUAUCCGGUCUAAGAGGACGGUCGGACACACUGACACUGAAUAACGGGUCAGACUCCUACGGGAGGCAGCAGUCGGG
rnacentral:rRNA from 1 species